rnacentral:rRNA from 1 species
UACGUAGGGGGCGAGCGUUGUCCGGAAUUAUUGGGCGUAAAGAGCUCGUAGGCGGUUCUUUAAGUCGGGUGUGAAAUCUCAGGGCUCAACUCUGAAACUGCACCCGAUACUGGAGAACUUGAGGCAGGUAGGGGAGAUCGGAAUUCCUGGUGUAGCGGUGAAAUGCGCAGAUAUCAGGAGGAACACCGGUGGCGAAGGCGGAUCUCUGGGCCUGUUCUGACGUGAGGAGCGAAAGCGUGGGGAGCAAACAGG